AGUGGCAGACGGGUGAGUAACAUGUAGGUAUCUACCCUUUGGUGAGGAAUAACACGAGGAAACUUGUGCUAAUACCUCAUAAGUCUUUACGGAGAAAGCUUUAUGCGCCGAAGGAUGAGCCUGCACUUGAUUAGUUUGUUGGUGGGGUAAUGGCCUACCAAGACUUUGAUCUAUAGCUGAUCUGAGAGGAUGAUCAGCCACAUUGGGACUGAGACACGGCCCAAACUCCUACGGGAGGCAGCAGUAGGGAAUAUUGCACAAUGGAGGAAACUCUGAUGCAGCGAUGCCGCGUGAGUGAAGAAGGCCUUUGGGUUGUAAAGCUCUUUCGUCGGGGAAGAAAAUGACUGUACCCGAAUAAGAAGGUCCGGCUAACUUCGUGCCAGCAGCCGCGGUAAUACGAAGGGACCUAGCGUAGUUCGGAAUUACUGGGCUUAAAGAGUUCGUAGGUGGUUAAAAAAGUUGGUGGUGAAAUCCCAGAGCUUAACUCUGGAACUGCCAUCAAAACUUUUUAGCUAGAGUAUGAUAGAGGAAAGCAGAAUUUCUAGUGUAGAGGUGAAAUUCGUAGAUAUUAGAAAGAAUACCAAUUGCGAAGGCAGCUUUCUGGAUCAUUACUGACGCUGAGGAACGAAAGCAUGGGUAGCGAAGAGGAUUAGAUACCCUCGUAGUCCAUGCCGUAAACGAUGCGUGUUAGACGUUGGAAAUUUAUUUUCAGUGUCGCAGCGAAAGCGUUAAACACACCGCCUGGGGAGUAC
rnacentral:rRNA from 1 species